AAUAUUGGACAAUGGGCGAAAGCCUGAUCCAGCCAUGCCGCGUGUGUGAAGAAGGUCUUCGGAUUGUAAAGCACUUUAAGUUGGGCGGAAGGGCAGUAAGUUAAUACCUUGCUGUUUUGACGUUACCGACAGAAUAAGCACUGGCUAACUUUGUGCCAGCAGCCGCGGUAAUACGUAGGGUCCAAGCGUUAAUCGGAAUUACUGGGGGUAAAGCGGGCGUAGGUGGUUCGUUAAGUUGGAAGUGAAAGCCCCGGGCUUAACCUGGGAAUUGCUUUCAUAACUGCUGAGCUAGAGUACGGUAGAGGGUAGUGGAAUUUCCUGUGUAGCGGUGAAAUGCGUAGAUAUAGGAAGGAACAUCGGUGGCGAAGGCGACUACCUGGACUGAUACUGACACUGAGGUGCGAAAGCGUGGGGAGCAA
rnacentral:rRNA from 1 species